rnacentral:rRNA from 1 species
UGGUUGUCGUCAGCUCGUGUCGUGAGAUGUUGGGUUAAGUCCCGCAACGAGCGCAACCCUCGUCCUAUGUUGCCAGCGGGUCAUGCCGGGACUCAGUAGGGAGACUGGCCGGGGUCAAACGUCGGAGGAAGGUGGGAUGACGUCAAAUCAUCAUGCCCCGUUAUGUCUUGGGCUUCACGCAUGCUACAAUGGCCGGUACAAAGGGCUGCGAUACCGCGAGGUGGAGCGAAUCCCAGAAAGCCGGUCUCAGUUCGGAUUGGGGUCUGCAACUCGACCCCAUGAAGUCGGAGUCGCUAGUAAUCGCAGAUCAGCAACGCUGCGGUGAAUACGUUCCCGGGCCUU